AAAGUCGAAAUUAUUCCCAUUUGUAAUGACGUCAUUUUUGUUUAUCUUUGUUUAACAUAUUCCAAACAGCGGCGACAACAAAUUUUUGAAAAAAAUUGGUGUCUGAUGAUUAUUCAUCUUUUAUAUACUAGGUUAUGUAAAAUAUCCGUCACUGUCAAUCAAAAAUAUUGGUUUGUCAACUUGUUCUUGAAAGUUAUUUCGAAAAGUGUUAGAUAAUGCCUAAAAAAAGAUAUAAUAGGUAUAAUGAACAAUCGCAGCUGAUGAUUUUAAAUAUAUUGGCUUUUUUUUAACUGGAAAAGGAACAAGUCCGAAACGGAAUUGCACUUUAAAUUGAGAAUGUGAUACAGCGAGCCGCAGAUGCAACAAAAUUGAGCACAACAACGAUUGCAAAUAUAAAGAAGAAUGGGAUAAAAUCAUAUCAGGAUUACGCAGCCCGUAUAUAUUCCAAGCAAAAGACAGCCAAAACCAAAAUUACAACAUAUUAGAAACAUAGAAUUCGGGACAGAAUUUAUUCUAUGUACGCCAGAAAAGAAUAUGUAAUAUUUGCAACAAUAAGAGAAAAGUUCAGGGAAGAAAUUGAAUAUUUUGAGUUUUCCAUUGGCUUCAAGUAGAAAAAAUCAAAUAACAGAAAAUAUUUGAUGGACUUGCCAAAUAUUGUUCAUAAAAGAAUCGAUUUUUUAAGGGAGUAUAUCAAAAAUAGAUAUGUAGGUCCGGAAGGUUUUACUCCAGUUUUCAUUGACGAGACGUGGAUUUUUAGCAAGGGAUCGUUUCGUAGUAGCUGGCAAGAUGACAUCAAGCACAUGGAUUCAAGGAAAAACAGUGAAGGUCAUCGUUAUAUCGUGGUCCACGCCGGAACCAAAGAUGGCUUCAUCAAGGGUGCAAAUUUAAUAUUCAAGAGUGGAAUAAAGACGGGAGAUUAUCAUGAUAAUAUGAACAGGGAAAACUUCGAAAACUGAUUUAAAACUCAGCUGGUUCCAAAUCUUCCCCCAAAGUCAUUUAUAAUCAUGGAUAAUGCAAGUUACCAUUCUGGUUUAUUAGAAGAAAUACCGAGAAAAUCUUGGACAAAGCAGAGACUGACCGAAUGGUUGAAGAAAAAGAAUAUUGGCUUUCCAGAAAAAGCCAUGAAAGAUAAAAUAUGGAGUAUUGUACGCAGAAAUUGCCCUAGUGAAAAAAAGUACUUCCUUGAUGAAUAUGUUAAACCUUUAGGACACAAAAUUUUUCGACUGCCACCAUAGCAUUGCCGGUUUAAUGCAAUUGAAAUGGUAUGGUCGGAAUGUAAACGAAAAUAUUAUCAAUAUAUUUCCAAUUUUAAGGAGUCACCUUCAGAAGUUCUGACUACAUGGGAAAGGGUAAUAAACGAAUUUUCUAUAGAUCAUUGGCAAAAAUAUGUUUUUCAUACAGAAAAGGUAAUUGAAAAGGCUUGGGAGUCAAUACAAGUGUGUGAUGCCUAUGACAUUCUGCUACUUGUGAUUACGACUGACGAAGACGACGAUGACGAAGACAAUAUCUCGGAUUUCAGUUCUGACUCUGACAAUACUGACGAGAUUAAUUAAGCUUUUUUUGUUCUAGCAAAUUUUAUUUUAUGAUCAUCGUUUAAGUAUUCAAUCAUAUCGUUGCAAUUUCAUUAACUUGGUAAUGAAAAACACGCCAUAUCGUUGCAAUAUGGCGUGUUUUUUUUGAGUUUGUAUGUUUUAUUUUUUGGAAUGGUAUUUUCAUUUUAAUGUGUUAACAUAUUCCUUCAAGCAGCAUUUUUUUUAUGAACAAGUAAAUUAAAUUGUCAGUAUUUAAAUUUUUCCCAGUGAGUUAAAAUAAUUUUAUACCAUUAUUCACAAUUUUUGUAAGCUCGGUUUUGUUACGUCUACUGCUCGUGCCGAAUUUUACUUUUCAAAUAUGUUGUAGAUUUGGUUUUUGCGGUCUUUUGCUUGGAAAAUAUAUGAGCAGCGUAAUCCUGAUCUGAUUUUAUCCCAUUCUUCUUUAUAUUUGCGAUCGUCGUUGUGCUCAAUUUUGUUGCAUCUGCGGCUCGCUCUAUUACAUUCUCAAUUUGAAGUGCAAUUCCGUUUUCGGACUUGUUGUUUAUGUCCCAUUAUUUAUGAUUAAUUAUAAUAAUAUUUGUUAAUUGUUAAGUUUGUUAGUAAUACAAUAAAUACUACAAGAUUUUUUUAAAUUUUUAGGGAAUGAAAGUAUAUACACGAAUAUAAAAACAUAAUAAUAUGCUGCUAAAAUAAAUCAUUUGUUAAUUUCUGAACAUAUAAAAAUACAUAGCAGACUAUUAAUUUCUGAAGGCGAUGGUAAAGUUUCUAACCUAAUACUGAUUGGCAAAAAUAUCUACGUUUUUUCUCACCUGGAUGACGUAACUACAAAUGGGUAUAAUUUCGACUUUAGGAAAUGCAGGUUCUGGACGACCAAAAAUUUCAAACGAUAUUCAAGAUGUUAGUUAGUUGACUUUCUAAGAAGCAAUCCGUUUAAAACAGCAAUAAAGGCGAAACAAGACACGCAUUUUCCUGGUUUUGCUAAUACAGCUCCAGCAGGAUAAGAAAUUCGGAAAUUAAAAGUUGCUGUGCAACAAAUAAAAUAUUUUUGGCUGAAGCAUACAAACAGUGAAGAUUAGAAUUUGCCCAUCAAUAUGCACAUCAAAACAACAUAUGGGAAACGGCCUUCUAAUAUCAGAUAUAAUGAAAGAUAUACACAUAAGACUAAUCAAAGUGGACGUUUUAGUAUGAACGUUUGGACCUGGAUUAGUUUUAGAGGACCAGGCGUUUGUCAAAUAGUGCAGGGAAGGCUAAAUGCCUUAGGAUAUUGCAAUAUCCUGAACAAUGUUAUGAUCGGUUGGUGUAGUCUAUGGACAAGAUCUUCCAACAUGAUAAUGCUAAAAACAAAUUCAAGUUUUACCGUGGCCCUCGAAAAGCCCUGAUAUCAACCCAAUUGAAAACGUCUGCCACGACGUUUGCAAGCUGUAAUUGAUAACGACGGUGCGAUUAGUUAGUUUUGGUUUAUUUAUAAAAUGUGUUCCAAAUAAAAAUAAACAUCGAAAAAUAAAAAUAUUUGGUAUUAAUAUUAUUAUUUAAA